rnacentral:rRNA from 1 species
GCCCUUCAGUCCGGAAUAACGUCGGGAAACUGACGCUAAAACCGGAUAUUCCCUCCGGGGGAAAGUUUACGCUGAAGGAUUGGCCCGCGUUAGAUUAGGUAGUUGGUGGGGUAAUGGCCUACCAAGCCUACGAUCUAUAGCUGGUCUGAGAGGACGACCAGCCACACUGGAACUGAGACACGGUCCAGACUCCUACGGGAGGCAGCAGUGGGGAAUAUUGGACAAUGGGGGAAACCCUGAUCCAGCCAUGCCGCGUGAGUGAUGAAGGCCUUAGGGUUGUAAAGCUCUUUUGUGAGGGAAGAUAAUGACGGUACCUCAAGAAUAAGCACCGGCUAACUUCGUGCCAGCAGCCGCGGUAAUACGAAGGGUGCUAGCGUUGUUCGGAAUCACUGGGCGUAAAGCGCGCGUAGGCGGCUUUUCAAGUCAGGGGUGAAAUCCCACGGCUCAACCGUGGAAUUGCCUUUGAAACUGUAAAGCUUGAGUGUCGGAGGGGAUAGCGGAAUUGCUAAUGUAGAGGUGAAAUUCGUAGAUAUUAGCAGGAACACCGGUGGCGAAGGCGGCUAUCUGGACGACAACUGACGCUGAGGCGCGAAAGCGCGGGGAUCAAACAGAUUAGAUACCCUGGUAGUCCGCGCUGUAAACGAUGGAUGC